UCAUGCAGGAUUAGAUAAAGGAGGUGAAAAUGUUGGAAUUGCUCAAUUUAUGUUAAACCACUAUUUGCGAGGACCCUUGUUGUGUCAGUCAUAUUAUUGGAAGAAGAGUCCACAACCAACAGAUUGAGCGCUUUUGGCAAGAUCUUUUUGUUGGUUGUACAAGUCAAAAUACGACCAUAUACAGCAGGUAAACCAAGAAUUUCCACCCACCUUUACACAAAAUUACGCAUGUCAUGAAACAGAUCAGAAGUAAGUGAUUGUUCCAGAAACCUACAUUCCAUUGAAUGAAAUAGAUCUUGAUGAGCUGCAAAGAACCAUUAAUCCUUUAAGGCAUUCUAAUCAUAAUGGUGCUGACAUAUACAUUGAGGUGCUUCAGUUUGUAAAUACCAGACUGCACCAGGAAGAGGAGUGACAUUGUGAACUCACAAAACAAGAAAAGCUACUUGACCUAUUGUUUGUUGGUGUCAAUUCAGAUAAUACAAAAGAAGAUAUGUAUGGCAAGGAAGGCUAUAAAUUUUUCAUCAUGUUGAUUAUUAAAACAUUUUGGCAGAAAACGUUUUUUAACACAUAAAUUCUGAUGCACUGCCAGAACAAAAUUUAAUGAAACAUUAACAUACUUACUUUAAGUCUGUAACUAUAAAAAUGAUAUCCAAAACAAAGAAGAAAAAUAUUUCAAAUUUGUGCAUCAUCCAUA